rnacentral:rRNA from 1 species
AGAGUUUGAUCCUGGCUCAGGAUGAACGCUAGCGGCAGGCUUAACACAUGCAAGUCGAGGGGCAGCGGGGAGGAAGCUUGCUUUCUCCGCCGGCGACCGGCGCACGGGUGAGUAACACGUAUGGAACCUGCCCGCAGCAGGGGGAUAAGCGGAAGAAAUUCCGUCUAAUACCGCGUAACAACGUUGGGAGGCAUCUCCCGAUGUUUAAAGAUUUAUCGGCUGCGGAUGGCCAUGCGGCGCAUUAGCUAGUCGGCGGGGUAACGGCCCACCGAGGCGACGAUGCGUAGGGGUUCUGAGAGGAAGGUCCCCCACACUGGUACUGAGACACGGACCAGACUCCUACGGGAGGCAGCAGUGAGGAAUAUUGGUCAAUGGCCGAAAGGCUGAACCAGCCAAGUCGCGUGAGGGAAGACGGCCCUACGGGUUGUAAACCUCUUUUGUCGGGGAGCAAAGAGAGCCACGUGUGGCUCAUUGAGAGUACCCGAAGAAAAAGCAUCGGCUAACUCCGUGCCAGCAGCCGCGGUAAUACGGAGGAUGCGAGCGUUAUCCGGAUUUAUUGGGUUUAAAGGGUGCGCAGGCGGAGGUGCAAGUCAGCGGUCAAAUUGCGGGGCUCAACCCCGUACUGCCGUUGAAACUGCAUCCCUUGAGUGCGCGAGAAGUAUGCGGAAUGCGUGGUGUAGCGGUGAAAUGCAUAGAUAUCGCGCAGAACUCCGAUUGCGAAGGCAGCAUGCCGGCUCCACACUGACGCUGAGGCACGAAAGCGUGGGUAUCGAACAGGAUUAGAUACCCUGGUAGUCCACGCAGUAAACGAUGAAUGCUGGCUGUCCGGGGGGAUUGACCCCUGGGUGGCGAAGCGAAAGCGAUAAGCAUUCCACCUGGGGAGUACGCCGGCAACGGUGAAACUCAAAGGAAUUGACGGGGGCCCGCACAAGCGGAGGAACAUGUGGUUUAAUUCGAUGAUACGCGAGGAACCUUACCCGGGCUCAAACGGGGAGUGACUCAGGCAGAGACGCCUGUUUCCCACGGGACACUCCCCGAGGUGCUGCAUGGUUGUCGUCAGCUCGUGCCGUGAGGUGUCGGCUUAAGUGCCAUAACGAGCGCAACCCCCGCGUGCAGUUGCUAACAGAUAACGCUGAGGACUCUGCACGGACUGCCGGCGCAAGCCGCGAGGAAGGCGGGGAUGACGUCAAAUCAGCACGGCCCUUACGUCCGGGGCGACACACGUGUUACAAUGGGUGGUACAGCGGGAAGCCAGGCGGCGACGCCGAGCGGAACCCGAAAUCCACUCUCAGUUCGGAUCGGAGUCUGCAACCCGACUCCGUGAAGCUGGAUUCGCUAGUAAUCGCGCAUCAGCCAUGGCGCGGUGAAUACGUUCCCGGGCCUUGCACACACCGCCCGUCA